UACGAACUGUGCAAACGUUAUUCGGAUUCACUGGGCUUAAAGGGUGCGUAGGCGGCUUAUCAAGUAGGGUGUGAAAGCCCCCGGCUUAACCGGGGAAUUGCGCCCUAAACUGACGAGCUGGAGUGGGACAGGGGUGUGUGGAACUUCCGGUGGAGCGGUGAAAUGUGUUGAUAUCGGAAGGAACGCCGGUGGCGAAAGCGACACACUGGGUCUCAACUGACGCUGAGGCACGAAAGCCAGGGGAGCGAACGGG
rnacentral:rRNA from 1 species